rnacentral:rRNA from 1 species
AUGGAGAGGACGACGUCCGCCGAGGACCUGACGCAACGGCUAACCGACGACCUACUCGCUGAGGUCCUCCGCCGUCUCCAGGCCACAUCGCCGUGCAGCCUUGCCGCGUCCCGCUGCACCUGCAAGGCAUGGCGCACUGUUAGACUAUGUAUAGCUUCUGUACCUAUGUUACGAUCGCUUCCGCUUCUAAACCCUAAUACCCGCACCGCCGCCGCAGCCGCCGCCGCCUUCACCGCCGCCGCCGCGCCACCGAUCGCGCCGCCGCCAUGUCGAGCGCCGCCACCACCGGUCCCACUGCUGCGGGCUUCCUCCCGGCCUCUCUUGCGGCUCUGCUCAACCUCCCGCUCGAUGCCGUCUCUGUUCCGGCUCCGAUCGGGACAAGGAGCAUCGGCUCCCCGCCGCCGCCUUCACCGCCGCCGCCGCGCCACCGAUCGCGCCGCCGCCAUGUCGAGCGCCGCCACCACCGGUCCCACUGCUGCGGGCUUCCUCCCGGCCUCUCUUGCGGCUCUGCUCAACCUCCCGCUCGAUGCCGUCUCUGUUCCGGCUCCGAUCGGGACAAGGAGCAUCGGCUCCUCGCUGACCGGCAUAUUCGUCCACCUCAAAAACGAGAAGCUCCCAAGGCACAUCAAGCACGCAGCAUCACCUGCGAACAUCGUCCCCUUCCACUACUUGGAUGCCCGGACCACCGAUUAUUUGACGAUCCUGCAGCACUGCAAUGGCCACCUUCUUAUGCUCGCCGCCGAUGAUGAAAGGGUAGAAGGGGUAUGGGUUCUUAACCCCGCCACGGAACAGUGGACGCGUCUGCCUGCUCCCCCGCCCAUGUGCACGCCCGGCAUGGAGGAAGUUGAUGAAUACAUGGAUGACCAUGACCAAUACCUCGUGUUUGAUCCUACCGUGUCGCCACAUUACAAGAGAGAAUGGCCACCGUCGACCUUUGUCUUGCUUGUCUUCUCAUCGAUGACAAAUCGGUGGGAGGAGAGGUCUUUUGUUCGCCAAGGGGGGGCCGCGGGGACUAUUGGCAACAUGUUACAGGUUCCCCUGUCUGACCAUUGGUAUGCCGUAUGCUGGCAGGGAGCACUUUACUUCCACCAGCGUGGCUUGUUCAUGAGGAUAAACCUGACAAGCGAUAAAUACCAGGUCAUUAAGCCACCGGAAGGUUUUCACCCGGAAUAUGAUACGGGGCAUUACUUAGGAAAAUCGAGGAACGGUGUAUAUUAUGCACUACUUAAUGACCUGAGACUUCAGAUUUGGUACCUCGACGGAACAGGUGAUCGGAUAAACUGGAUCUUAAAGUCCGAUGUAGACCUCCGCAAUCUUCUAGCAGUUUUCUCUCCAAACCACAGUGAUCGUUCCGCGGUGAUGAAGAUGAUGGGAGCAAUGCACUAG